ACGGAAGGCAGCAGUGAGGAAUAUUGGUCAAUGGAGGCAACUCUGAACCAGCCAUCUCGCGUGAAGGAAUACGGCCCUACGGGUCUUAAACUUCUUUUAUAGGGGGAUAAAGUGAGCCACGUGUGGCUUUUUGUAGGUACCCUAUGAAUAAGCAUCGGCUAACUCCGUGCCAGCAGCCGCGGUAAUACGGAGGAUGCGAGCGUUAUCCGGAUUUAUUGGGUUUAAAGGGUGCGCAGGCGGCACGUUAAGUCAGCGGUGAAAUGUCGGGGCUCAACCCGGGCACUGCCGUUGAAACUGGCGAGCUUGAGUACGGAUGAAGUCGGCGGAAUGUGAUGUGUAGCGGUGAAAUGCUUAGAUAUGUCACAGAACACCGAUUGCGAAGGCAGCCGGCCAAUCCGCAACUGACGCUCAUGCACGAAAGCGUGGGGAUCGAACAGGAUUAGAUACCCUGGUA
rnacentral:rRNA from 1 species